CCUACGGGAGGCAGCAGUGGGGAAUAUUGCACAAUGGGGGAAACCCUGAUGCAGCGACGCCGCGUGAGUGAAGAAGUAUUUCGGUAUGUAAAGCUCUAUCAGCAGGGAAGAAGAAAGGCGGUACUUGAAUAAGAAGCCCCGGCUAACUACGUGCCAGCAGCCGCGGUAAUACGUAGGGGGCAAGCGUUAGCCGGAUUUACUGGGUGUAAAGGGCGCGUAGACGGCUGUGGAAGUCUGAAGUGAAAGCCCAGGGAUCAACCCUGGGACUGCUUUUGAAACUGUGGAGCACGAGUGCUGGAGAGGUAAGUGGAAUUCCUAGUGUAGCGGUGAAAUGCGUAGAUAUUAGGAGGAACACCAGUGGCGAAGGCGGCUGACUGGACAGUAACUGACGUUGAGGCUCGAAAGCGUGGGGAGCAAACAGGAUUAGAUACCCUGGUAGUC
rnacentral:rRNA from 1 species